UACAGAGGUCUCAAGCGUUGUUCGGAUUCAUUGGGCGUAAAGGGUGCGUAGGUGGCGCCGUAAGUCAGGUGUGAAAUUUCGGAGCUUAACUCCGAAACUGCAUUUGAUACUGCGGUGCUUGAGGACUGGAGAGGAGACUGGAAUUUACGGUGUAGCAGUGAAAUGCGUAGAGAUCGUAAGGAAGACCAGUGGCGAAGGCGGGUCUCUGGGACAGUUCCUGAC
rnacentral:rRNA from 1 species